rnacentral:tRNA from 1 species
CAGGGAGACAAACAAUUGAUCUUGAUGUCUAAGUAUUUAAAUUCUUAGGCCUAGAUCCUGUCACCUUAGGUCGAUCGGUACCUCAGAUUCAUUUUUAAUUCGGAGUUUAUAAUUCCAGAAAUACAUGAAUUUCAGUUCCUAAACUUUGUCUAGGUCACACCCCGCAAGGGUUACUCCUGGGCCAUUAGCUCAGGUGGUUAGAGCGCACCCCUGAUAAGGGUGAGGUCCCUGGUUCAAGUCCAGGAUGGCCCAUUCGGUGUUGGGGGUAUAGCUCAGUUGGUAGAGCGCCUGCUUUGCAAGCAGGAUGUCAGCGGUUCGAGUCCGCUUACCUCCACUGAUCCACUCCUGAUAGCGAAAACCAAAUUGGAGAUAUCAAUGUUUCUUGUGACUUAGAAGUUAUUUCUCUGAAAUGAACCUAGCUUCCUUUCAUUCCACAAAAAGCUAAAAUUAAAAUAGUUUUAGGUUGUAAGGAUGCUGGGCUCACUGAAAUUCAACGAAUUUUUAGUAAGUUCAGUAGAACCUUGAAAACUGCAUAGGUAAGUCUGGAAAAAAUAAAGCAUCUCAUGGAUGCAUUAUUUCUUUUAUUUAUAUUAGGAAUUCAUCGCCUCUGUGUGCCUUAAAUAAAAUUUCCUAAGUUUAAGUAAAAAGAAAUUGUGUUUAAUUCUUGAGUUAAGAGCCAAGACUCUAAAAAUAUUAAUUUAGAGUUAAU